GCACUGCAGCUAUUGCCAUCUUCUGUGGUUACUUCACAAGGUGUCCUGCUGUCCUCGCUCCAUGUCUUUCCCUGAGCAUCUGUUAGAAGUGGCAGCUGUGAUGCACCUUAAGCCUCCUGCAAAAGGAAGGCUUCUGAAGCAGGAGACUGACCUCACUGCAAAAUACAAUUUAAUUAAACAUAUGUUGAUUAUAAAAAACCAUCUGUAAUAAACUAGGAGAGGAGAGACUGGUUCCACUGACAGAAAUAAAGGUUUUCCCAUUAGUUCCCUGAAGUUAGGGGUUUCAGUCUCAAGACAUAAUUACAGAUGCUAAAUUAGUUAAAAGAAGAAAUGAUAUAACACCGUCCUAAGAUGACUAUUCGAAGUGAGCAAUUGCUGCUCUAGUUGCCAUAGGGAUACUGAAUGAAUGCAGAUGAGGUAGGAGAUAUCCAGAAGGCUCUGUGAACACGAGU